ensembl:lncRNA
CUAACAGUGAAAUGUUUACUUAAAUAAAUACACAAUGAGCAAUGAUAACUAGGCUACAUACACUGGGUACCAGUACUGAGUCAAUGAUAACUUGGUUAUAUACACUGGGUACCAGUACUGAGUCAAUGAUAACUAGGCUAUAUACACUGGGUACCAGUACUGAGUCAAUGAUAACAUGGUUAUAUACACAGGGUACCAGUACAGAGUCAAUGAUAACUUGGUUAUAUACACAUGGUACCAGUACUGAGUCAAUGAUAACUUGGUUAUAUACACUGGGUACCAGUACUGAGUCAAUGAUAACUUGGUUAUAUACACUGGGUACCAGUACUGAGUCAAUGAUAACUAGGCUAUAUACACUGGGUACCAGUACUGAGUCAAUGAUAACAUGGCUAUAUACACUGGGUACCAGUACUGAGUCAAUGAUAACAUGGCUAUAUACACAGGGUACCAGUACUGAGUCAAUGAUAACUUGGUUAUAUACACUGGGUACCAGUACUGAGUCAAUGAUAACUUGGUUAUAUACAUGGGGUACCAGUACAGAGUCAAUGAUAACUUGGUUAUAUACACAUGGUACCAGUACUGAGUCAAUGAUAACUUGGUUAUAUACAUGGGGUACCAGUACAGAGUCAAUGAUGACUUGGCUAUAUACACAGGGUACCAGUAAUGAUAACUAGUCUAUACACACAGGGUACCAGUACUGAGUCAAUGUACAGGGGUACAAGGUAAUUGAGGUAGAUAUAUACAUGUAGGCGUUGUCACGAUACCAGCAUUUUGACAUCUUUACUGAUACCAAGUUUAGUAUCACGAUACUCGAUAGCAAAAUGAUAUCAUGGCAAAAAUAAAGGCCUAUUAGUCCCCGAAAUGGCAUUUGAUCCAAACAGAUCAACUCAGCUACUCCUCUGUUCAAUCGUUGGGCAUCUUCUGAGUUCAAUAUCAUCACAUUCACAAAAAAAAAAAAUGUAAUUAAUCAAUAAAUUAUACAUUAUAAAUGUGACUUUUCUUUUCUUAUAUUUGUUCUUUAAAAAAAAAAAACUUAUCUAACUACAUCAAUGGUAAUAGUUCAUUUGAAUGGUAAAUCUCUAUUGAUGAACUGGGUAAAUCAAGAUGUAGCCUAGGCCUAUCCACAAUACAGGCAAACACAUAUUAUUCAAUAGGAGUGUGUGGAUGCAUUGAGUUAAUGAGCUGGUUUUGGCUGAUUUCAUGGGGCUACAGAUGACAAACAAUCUGUUUCCCUUCCAUUAGGGACUUAUUUUAUUGUACUGAUCAUCAUUU